GGACAACCUGCCCUCGGGUGGGGGAUAACCCCGGGAAACUGGGGCUAAUCCCCCAUAGGGGAUGGGUACUGGAAUGUCUCAUCUCCGAAAGCGCUUAGCGCCCGAGGAUGGGUCUGCGGCGGAUUAGGUUGUUGGUGGGGUAACGGCCCACCAAGCCGAAGAUCCGUACGGGCCAUGAGAGUGGGAGCAGGAGCCCGGAGAUGGACCCUGAGACACGGGUCCAGGCCCUACGGGGCGCAGCAGGCGCGAAACCUCCGCAAUGCGGGAAACCGCGACGGGGUCAGCCGGAGUGCUCGCGCAUCGCGCGGGCUGUCGGGGUGCCUAAAAAGCACCCCAUAGCAAGGGCCGGGCAAGGCCGGUGGCAGCCGCCGCGGUAAUACCGGCGGCCCGAGUGGCGGCCACUUUUAUUGGGCCUAAAGCGUCCGUAGCCGGGCUGGUAAGUCCUCCGGGAAAUCUGGUCGCUUAACGAUCAGACUGCCGGAGGAUACUGCCAGCCUAGGGACCGGGAGAGGCCGGGGGUAUUCCCGGGGUAGGGGUGAAAUCCUGUAAUCCCGGGAGGACCACCUGUGGCGAAGGCGCCCGGCUGGAACGGGUCCGACGGUGAGGGACGAGGGCCAGGGGAGCGAACCGGAUUAGAUACCCGGGUAGUCCUGGCUGUAAACGAUGCGGACUAGGUGUCACCGAAGCUACGAGCUUCGGUGGUGCCGGAGGGAAGCCGUU
rnacentral:rRNA from 1 species